rnacentral:rRNA from 1 species
GACGAACGCUGGCGGCGUGCUUAACACAUGCAAGUCGAGCGGUAAGGCCCUUUCGGGGGUACACGAGCGGCGAACGGGUGAGUAACACGUGGGUGACCUGCCUUUAGCUCUGGGAUAAGCCUGGGAAACUGGGUCUAAUACCGGAUACGACUCCGCGGUGCAUGCUGUGGGGUGGAAAGCCUUGUGCGGCUGGAGAUGGGCCCGCGGCCUAUCAGCUUGUUGGUGGGGUGAUGGCCUACCAAGGCGACGACGGGUAGCCGGCCUGAGAGGGCGACCGGCCACACUGGGACUGAGAAACGGCCCAGACUCCUACGGGAGGCAGCAGUGAGGAAUUUUCCGCAAUGGGCGCAAGCCUGACGGAGCGACGCCGCGUGUGGGAAGAAGGCCUUC